GACAGAGGGUGCAAACGUUGUUCGGAAUUACUGGGCGUAAAGCGAGUGUAGGCGGUCUUAAAAGUCAGGUGUGAAAGCCCCGGGCUCAACCCGGGAAGUGCACUUGAAACUGCAAGGCUAGAGUACUGGAGAGGUUGGUGGAAUUCUCGGUGUAGAGGUGAAAUUCGUAGAUAUCGAGAGGAACACCAGUGGCGAAGGCGAGUCCCUGGACGGGUCCUGACGCUGAGGCACGAAAGCUAGGGGAGCAAACAGG
rnacentral:rRNA from 1 species